UACGUAGGGUGCGAGCGUUAAUCGGAAUUACUGGGCGUAAAGCGUGCGCAGGCGGUUUUGUAAGCCAGAUGUGAAAGCCCCGGGCUCAACCUGGGAAUGGCAUUUGGGACUGCAAGGCUUGAGUGCGGCAGAGGAGACUGGAAUUCCUGGUGUAGCAGUGAAAUGCGUAGAUAUCAGGAGGAAUACCGAUGGCGAAGGCAGGUCUCUGGGCUGACACUGACGCUCAUGCACGAAAGCGUGGGGAG
rnacentral:rRNA from 1 species